AGUGGAGACUCCAUGGUUAAGGGGCUCAGCUCCUGGGAGUAAGAUCGAUGAGUCCAAGCCUGGAUAGUAUGGACUCCAUUGUCUUCAAUCUCGCUGCCUUGGUAAACACAUCUGCAAGCUGAUCUUCACUCCUUGUAUUGAGGGAAAAAGAGUGGAGACUCCAUGGUUAAGGGGCUCAGCUCCUGGGAUUAAGAUCGAUGAGUCCAAGCCUGGAUAGUAUGGACUCCAUUGUCUUCAAUCUUGCUGCCUUGGUAAACACAUCUGCAAGCUGAUCUU
rnacentral:lncRNA from 1 species